GGGGCUGUAGCUCACCUGGUAGAGCGCUUGAAUCGCACUCAAGAGGCAGACGGUUCGAUCCCGUUCAGCUCCA
rnacentral:tRNA from 1 species